UCAAGUGAAGAAGCGCAUACGGUGGAUGCCUUGGCAGUCAGAGGCGAUGAAAGACGUGGUAGCCUGCGAAAAGCUUCGGGGAGUCGGCAAACAGACUUUGAUCCGGAGAUCUCUGAAUGGGGGAACCCACCUAGGAUAACCUAGGUAUCUUGUACUGAAUCCAUAGGUGCAAGAGGCGAACCAGGGGAACUGAAACAUCUAAGUACCCUGAGGAAAAGAAAUCAACCGAGAUUCCCUUAGUAGUGGCGAGCGAACGGGGAUUAGCCCUUAAGCUUCAUUGAUUUUAGCGGAACGCUCUGGAAAGUGCGGCCAUAGUGGGUGAUAGCCCCGUACGCGAAAGGAUCUUUGAAGUGAAAUCGAGUAGGACGGAGCACGAGAAACUUUGUCUGAACAUGGGGGGACCAUCCUCCAAGGCUAAAUACUACUGACUGACCGAUAGUGAACCAGUACCGUGAGGGAAAGGCGAAAAGAACCCCGGAGAGGGGAGUGAAAUAGAACCUGAAACCGUAUGCGUACAAGCAGUGGGAGCCUACUUGUUAGGUGACUGCGUACCUUUUGUAUAAUGGGUCAGCGACUUAUAUUCAGUGGCAAGCUUAACCGUAUAGGGUAGGCGUAGCGAAAGCGAGUCUUAAUAGGGCGUUUAGUCGCUGGGUAUAGACCCGAAACCGGGCGAUCUAUCCAUGAGCAGGUUGAAGGUUAGGUAACACUGACUGGAGGACCGAACCCACUCCCGUUGAAAAGGUAGGGGAUGACUUGUGGAUCGGAGUGAAAGGCUAAUCAAGCUCGGAGAUAGCUGGUUCUCCUCGAAAGCUAUUUAGGUAGCGCCUCAUGUAUCACUCUGGGGGGUAGAGCACUGUUUCGGCUAGGGGGUCAUCCCGACUUACCAAACCGAUGCAAACUCCGAAUACCCAGAAGUGCCGAGCAUGGGAGACACACGGCGGGCAACGUCCGUCGUGAAAAGGGAAACAACCCAGACCGCCAGCUAAGGUCCCAAAGUUGUGGUUAAGUGGUAAACGAUGUGGGAAGGCUUAGACAGCUAGGAGGUUGGCUUAGAAGCAGCCACCCUUUAAAGAAAGCGUAAUAGCUCACUAGUCGAGUCGGCCUGCGCGGAAGAUGUAACGGGGCUCAAACCACACACCGAAGCUGCGGGUGUCACGUAAGUGACGCGGUAGAGGAGCGUUCUGUAAGCCUGUGAAGGUGAGUUGAGAAGCUUGCUGGAGGUAUCAGAAGUGCGAAUGCUGACAUGAGUAACGACAAUGGGUGUGAAAAACACCCACGCCGAAAGACCAAGGGUUCCUGCGCAACGUUAAUCGACGCAGGGUUAGUCGGUUCCUAAGGCGAGGCUGAAAAGCGUAGUCGAUGGGAAACAGGUUAAUAUUCCUGUACUUCUGGUUACUGCGAUGGAGGGACGGAGAAGGCUAGGCCAGCUUGGCGUUGGUUGUCCAAGUUUAAGGUGGUAGGCUGAAAUCUUAGGUAAAUCCGGGGUUUCAAGGCCGAGAGCUGAUGACGAGUCGUCUUUUAGAUGACGAAGUGGUUGAUGCCAUGCUUCCAAGAAAAGCUUCUAAGCUUCAGGUAACCAGGAACCGUACCCCAAACCGACACAGGUGGUCGGGUAGAGAAUACCAAGGCGCUUGAGAGAACUCGGGUGAAGGAACUAGGCAAAAUGGCACCGUAACUUCGGGAGAAGGUGCGCCGGCUAGGGUGAAGGAUUUACUCCGUAAGCUCUGGCUGGUCGAAGAUACCAGGCCGCUGCGACUGUUUAUUAAAAACACAGCACUCUGCAAACACGAAAGUGGACGUAUAGGGUGUGACGCCUGCCCGGUGCCGGAAGGUUAAUUGAUGGGGUUAGCGCAAGCGAAGCUCUUGAUCGAAGCCCCGGUAAACGGCGGCCGUAACUAUAACGGUCCUAAGGUAGCGAAAUUCCUUGUCGGGUAAGUUCCGACCUGCACGAAUGGCGUAACGAUGGCGGCGCUGUCUCCACCCGAGACUCAGUGAAAUUGAAAUCGCUGUGAAGAUGCAGUGUAUCCGCGGCUAGACGGAAAGACCCCGUGAACCUUUACUGUAGCUUUGCACUGGACUUUGAGCCUGCUUGUGUAGGAUAGGUGGGAGGCUUUGAAGCGUGGACGCCAGUUCGCGUGGAGCCAUCCUUGAAAUACCACCCUGGCAUGCUUGAGGUUCUAACUCUGGUCCGUGAUCCGGAUCGAGGACAGUGUAUGGUGGGCAGUUUGACUGGGGCGGUCUCCUCCUAAAGAGUAACGGAGGAGUACGAAGGUGCGCUCAGACCGGUCGGAAAUCGGUCGUAGAGUAUAAAGGCAAAAGCGCGCUUGACUGCGAGACAGACACGUCGAGCAGGUACGAAAGUAGGUCUUAGUGAUCCGGUGGUUCUGUAUGGAAGGGCCAUCGCUCAACGGAUAAAAGGUACUCCGGGGAUAACAGGCUGAUACCGCCCAAGAGUUCAUAUCGACGGCGGUGUUUGGCACCUCGAUGUCGGCUCAUCACAUCCUGGGGCUGAAGCCGGUCCCAAGGGUAUGGCUGUUCGCCAUUUAAAGUGGUACGCGAGCUGGGUUUAGAACGUCGUGAGACAGUUCGGUCCCUAUCUGCCGUGGACGUUUGAGAUUUGAGAGGGGCUGCUCCUAGUACGAGAGGACCGGAGUGGACGAACCUCUGGUGUUCCGGUUGUCACGCCAGUGGCAUUGCCGGGUAGCUAUGUUCGGAAAAGAUAACCGCUGAAAGCAUCUAAGCGGGAAACUUGCCUCAAGAUGAGAUCUCACUGGGAACUUGAUUCCCCUGAAGGGCCGUCGAAGACUACGACGUUGAUAGGCUGGGUGUGUAAGCGUUGUGAGGCGUUGAGCUAACCAGUACUAAUUGCCCGUGAGGCUUGACCA
rnacentral:rRNA from 1 species